GAACAGAAAAUAUUUCAGAAUAGCCACAUUCUAACGAAGACCACAAUUAUUAUUGACAAUAUGAAAGGAAAAUAUGACUUUGUUUUUAUACGCAGCGUAUUUAGAGUCACAGAAGCGAGUUUCAACGAUAAUUUCAACUUUUUAGCUGGCUUCUUUGUCCCCAGCCGAACUCACUUUAACCCGGAAAUAUUAAAUUGUUAUAUACUGCGCAUGUACAUGGAGUUCACAAGGUCAAGAAUGUUAUGGGUGAACUGUCAACAAAGACCAUUUUGUUCAACACGUUGAAGUGUUUUGUGGUGUUUUAUGGCUGUUACUAUGUUGUUAGUAGUGUUUGUUAUGCGUGUUACAGAUUGUCAAAUUUUGAUGGACGAAUCCCAUUCAAUUUUAAAACAUGGGUGAAUUUAUCCAACUGCUGUACUGGUUAUACUGAUGAAGAAAUUGUAAAUGUGAUAUCAAUGGAAGUGAGUUAUAGUUUAUGUGGUAUUAUUUAUGGUUUAUUGGUGAGAAACUGGGCCUGGGAUUAUGCUGUAUCAAUAGCUCUCCUGCAUUUGGCUCUGUCAUGUCUUGUUAUGUUAGAUUUUCCUGUCAAUUGGUCUUGGUGGGUUUGUUAUGGUUGUGCCUUGUUGUUAAAGAUAAUAUUUGGAGAAAUGAUCUGUUUCCUGUGGAAACUAAAGAGAAAAGUGAAAGUAGAACCUGGUGAAGUUCCAACCCAGAAAUCCUAUCUCUAUCACAAAAUGUGAUCAUAUCAUUUAUUUGAGGAACUGUUACUUUACUGUCUCAAAUUUUACCAAAGAUUUUACUCUGCAUUUAUUUAGUGGCUUCUCAUUAUCAGUGCCUCAUUUAUCUUUUUUUUGUUGAGGAGUGAAAACCCUUUAUCAUUUAAUAUUUUAAAUUUUAAAAAUGGAUUUUAUAUCUUAUUUUUAAAAAGUUACAACAAUUGUUCUCAAAACAUUCUCAGGCUUUAGUUAAGAAUAUUUCAAAAUUGUUUGUUUUAAUGUAUCAAAUCCGUCAAUAGGAAACUAUGUGCAAAGUUUUGUGUUUCUGGAUCAAAGAUAUUUCUCAUAAACAGUGGUUGAAAGAUGAGUAAAUUCUUAAAUUAAGUCUGAGAAUGCUUUGUGAACUUGGGACAUGGUAUUCUUAAAUACAGCUUAGAGCUAAAGUCUAAAGGGAUCAAGCACACGAUCAUUGUUUGAGAAAUUGUUAAUCCCUAGUGUAGACUAUGUACAAUAGUUUGAAAGUUGAAUCUCUAUGAGAAAUAUCAUUCUAAAGAUAGUUCAGUUCCAUUCAGUAUUUACAAUCUCUGAGGCUGGAGAUCUAUCGUUGAUAUUUUGAUGUUAUUUUCUUAAUCAAAUAAUAAUUUUGUAAAUAAAAUGGAUAUUGUCUGACAAAUGACGACCAGACUUUAAACACAGAUUAGUUCUAAUCAGCAUCUAGAAUAUAUGUCCCUAAAAAAGACUUAUUAAUGUUUCAAGUAGCAUCUAAUUGUUCAGGACUUAAUGUAGAAAAUAUUAGCCUGCUAAUUGGUGAAUUUGUUUUCAUCCCUUCUGUUUAAGGUUGUCUUUGUGAAAUUCAUAGAUCACAUCAUGACAGAAACUGUUAACUGUGCCUUUUUGUUUUUAUUAUACCCCUGAUGUUCAAGUCUUUGGAAGGUGUAAGCUUAUUCAUAAUCGCGGAUCAUCAUGCUAAAUGUUUUAUUUUGUUUCCAUUUUUUAAAUCUCAAUUUAUGGUCCCCUGUAUUUGCAGAUGUGAGUACAGUGAGAGGGGUGGAGACUGCAGUUGUACACACUGUUUUUGGCAAUUUAUUUUUGAGAUAUUCGAUGUCUCUACUACAAUUAGAAUGCCCCUCGUCAAUAUUAUUAUUUUGUCAGUUAUUUUUCAUUUAUUUAUUCUCUUUAGUAGAGUCCAUUUAAUAAUACUGCACUUUCCCAACAAUUCUUUACGGUUAGAACAGAUUUGAUUUGUACACCCGGACCCCAGCCGGCCACCCCAGACCCUCCCUAAAAAAAUCACGACACAGUCUUAUCUUUAAAGACCACGUAAGAUCAAAAAUCUAAAUUGCAUGUAUGUAUAGCCCAUGGUUACUAUAUCAACUUUACGGCAAGUUCACACCAAUCUGAUUAAAAUUAAGUCCGCUAUUAACGUUUAAGUAUCCGACACGCCAAAACGCUUUUCGAUUUUUCAAUUACGACCUUAAUCCGGUUGAUUGGCUGGUGACGUCACAGGCACUACACAUAGGAUAUACAUUAUCUAUACAAUAUCUCACUGUAUGUACAAUAUAGCACUAUCAAUACACACGGCAACUGGACAAGCGUCUAUUGACGGUCCAAUUACCACGUGACUGGCCUAAUCAUAAUCACCGAAUUAUCGUCUUUCAUUGGUAUAGAUUAGACAUUUGUGAAUGGAAUAUUUUAGAGUGAAUUUAAAAUGCCGUAUCAUGCCGUAGAUCAAUUUAAGCUGCCUUUGUUUAAAUAGGCCACGUGUCAAAUAAAGAUGACUCAAGAAAUUGGCGUAUUUACCGGUAAUUUGGAUAACCCCGUAAUACUUGAUAUCCCAAACUUAAGUACAGAAAUACAAAUGGUGCCAGUCAUUUGUCGAUAUAUUCAUUAUUAGCUAUAUAUAAUAAUAAUAACCAUUUCUAUACAUAAAGAACAACUACAGUGAAUAUGGAAUUUUCCGAUGACUAUGCAUAACAUGUACAAUAAAUCGCACUCAUUUCUCUGCCAAUCAACGCUUGGUAUCUUAUUAUCAUGUACCGUUCCAUGUACUACGGGUGUAGUAAAUGAGGUUAAACUUCGCCGCGAAAAUUGCACGGGAUCAUUCGUGGAGUUCCUGGUGCCGUUUGGUGAAUGAUUAAACUGUCAAAGCUGUUGUCGUUGUUGUUUAUUUAACGUCCAAUACAUAAUGCAUGAUAAUUAUUAUGGACAGGUUGAUUUAAUUAAACGUCACUUUAAAACAGAUUUAAAAUAAUUAAAAGUUCUUGUUUAUCUAAAAAUCACUUUAAAACACGGUUUUAAAAAUCGUUGUCGUGGGAAGAGAGGGCGGGUCAUCUUCUCACUUUGUCAUAAUGAAAGUUAAAAUAGGAGAUGCAAUUGUAAAAUACUUUUAUUAUAAAGAAGAUAACCGAUGUUAGACAUUAUAACCUAAUC